rnacentral:rRNA from 1 species
AUUGAACGCUGUCGGCAGGCCUAACACAUGCAAGUCGAGCGGAGCGGCGGACGGGUGAGUAAUGCCUAGGAAUCUGCCUGGUAGUGCUUGAUAACGUCCGGAAACGGGCGCUAAUACCGCAUACUAUCAGAUGAGCCUAGGUCGUAUUAGCUAGUUGGUGGGGUAAAGGCCUACCAAGGCGACGAUCCGUAACUGGUCUGAGAGGAUGAUCAGUCACACCGGAACUGAGAGACGGUCCAGACGCCUACGGGAGGCAGCAGUGGAGAAAAUUGGACAAUGGGCGAAAGCCUGAUCAAGCCAUGCCGGGUGUGUGAAGAAGGUCUUCGGAUUGUAAAGCACUUUAAGUUGGGAGGCGUUACCAACAGAAUAAGCACCGGCUAACUUCGUGCCAGCAGCCGCGGUAAUUC